UUUUUAAAAAGAGAAACUUUAUUAAUUUCAAGAUACAUCGACGAUACAUCGUGACAACUCUUCGCCUUCUCUCCGUUCGCCGGCCGUCCUUCGCCUCCCGGUGUGCUCGUCGACCGGCCGUUCAGACCUGAUCUCGCGCGGUGAAGGGAGGAUUUUAUUUUCUGGGGUAUGUUAGCUCGCCUGUAGGCUGUGUGUGUUGAUGGCCUGGCUUUUCUUAUCUCCCCCACCGCAGUCGCCGCUUGCCAUCACGCCGGUGGAGACCAAAUCAACAGCACAAAUGGUUCGGAGUGAGAGGGAGAAGACGGCGAGCUCGCACAAACUGAGAAUGUUGCAAGGAUUGCCCCUGCCCUGGGAAGGCGAUACCCUAUUCCACUGGACCUUGGCCACGGCGCUAAGGGCAGAGGCUGAUGUGCCGGCUAUCCGUUCGAUGGAAUGCGGCGUCAAUUCGACACCACCUUCAGGAAGCCUGAAUUCAGCUGGGCUGCUCAGUGUGAAGUACUUCAGCUCUCCUUCCCCCAGUUUAGUAAUCAAUUGUUCGUGGCCUCAAAUAUUACAAGG